GAUGAAGAACGCAGCGAAAUGCGAUAAGUAAUGUGAAUUGCAGAAUUCAGUGAAUCAUCGAAUCUUUGAACGCACAUUGCGCCCUCUGGUAUUCCGGGGGGCAUGCCUGUUCGAGCGUCAUUAUAACCACUCAAGCUCUCGCUUGGUAUUGGGGUUCGCGGUUUCGCGGCCCCUAAAAUCAGUGGCGGUGCCUGUCGGCUCUACGCGUAGUAAUACUUCUCGCGAUUGAGUUCGAUAGGUCUACUUGCCAGUAACCCCCAAUUUUUACAGGUUGACCUCGGAUCAGGUAGGGAUACCCGCUGAACUUAAGCAUAUCAGUAAGCGGAGGA
rnacentral:misc_RNA from 1 species